GGGAGUGGCUCAGUGGUAGAGCGUUACCUUGCCAAGGUAAAUGUCGCGGGUUCGAAUCCCGUCUUCCG
rnacentral:tRNA from 1 species